rnacentral:rRNA from 1 species
AGAGUUUGAUCAUGGCUCAGAUUGAACGCUGGCGGCAGGCCUAACACAUGCAAGUCGAGCGGUAGCACAGAGAGCUUGCUCUCGGGUGACGAGCGGCGGACGGGUGAGUAAUGUCUGGGAAACUGCCUGAUGGAGGGGGAUAACUACUGGAAACGGUAGCUAAUACCGCAUAACGUCGCAAGACCAAAGUGGGGGACCUUCGGGCCUCAUGCCAUCAGAUGUGCCCAGAUGGGAUUAGCUAGUAGGUGGGGUAACGGCUCACCUAGGCGACGAUCCCUAGCUGGUCUGAGAGGAUGACCAGCCACACUGGAACUGAGACACGGUCCAGACUCCUACGGGAGGCAGCAGUGGGGAAUAUUGCACAAUGGGCGCAAGCCUGAUGCAGCCAUGCCGCGUGUGUGAAGAAGGCCUUCGGGUUGUAAAGCACUUUCAGCGGGGAGGAAGGCGUUAAGGUUAAUAACCUUGGCGAUUGACGUUACCCGCAGAAGAAGCACCGGCUAACUCCGUGCCAGCAGCCGCGGUAAUACGGAGGGUGCAAGCGUUAAUCGGAAUUACUGGGCGUAAAGCGCACGCAGGCGGUCUGUCAAGUCGGAUGUGAAAUCCCCGGGCUCAACCUGGGAACUGCAUUCGAAACUGGCAGGCUAGAGUCUUGUAGAGGGGGGUAGAAUUCCAGGUGUAGCGGUGAAAUGCGUAGAGAUCUGGAGGAAUACCGGUGGCGAAGGCGGCCCCCCUGGACAAAGACUGACGCUCAGGUGCGAAAGCGUGGGGAGCAAACAGGAUUAGAUACCCUGGUAGUCCACGCCGUAAACGAUGUCGAUUUGGAGGUUGUGCCCUUGAGGCGUGGCUUCCGGAGCUAACGCGUUAAAUCGACCGCCUGGGGAGUACGGCCGCAAGGUUAAAACUCAAAUGAAUUGACGGGGGCCCGCACAAGCGGUGGAGCAUGUGGUUUAAUUCGAUGCAACGCGAAGAACCUUACCUGGUCUUGACAUCCACAGAACUUUCCAGAGAUGGAUUGGUGCCUUCGGGAACUGUGAGACAGGUGCUGCAUGGCUGUCGUCAGCUCGUGUUGUGAAAUGUUGGGUUAAGUCCCGCAACGAGCGCAACCCUUAUCCUUUGUUGCCAGCGGUUCGGCCGGGAACUCAAAGGAGACUGCCAGUGAUAAACUGGAGGAAGGUGGGGAUGACGUCAAGUCAUCAUGGCCCUUACGACCAGGGCUACACACGUGCUACAAUGGCAUAUACAAAGAGAAGCGACCUCGCGAGAGCAAGCGGACCUCAUAAAGUAUGUCGUAGUCCGGAUUGGAGUCUGCAACUCGACUCCAUGAAGUCGGAAUCGCUAGUAAUCGUAGAUCAGAAUGCUACGGUGAAUACGUUCCCGGGCCUUGUACACACCGCCCGUCACACCAUGGGAGUGGGUUGCAAAAGAAGUAGGUAGCUUAACCUUCGGGAGGGCGCUUACCACUUUGUGAUUCAUGACUGGGGUGAAGUCGUAACAAGGUAACCGUAGGGGAACCUGCGGUUGGAUCACCU